UACGGAGGGUGCGAGCGUUAUCCGGAUUCACUGGGUUUAAAGGGUGCGUAGGUGGGCAGGUAAGCCAGUGGUGAAAUCUCCGGGCUUAACCCGGAAACUGCCAUUGAUACUAUCAGUCUUGAAUACCGUGGAGGUAAGCGGAAUAUGUCAUGUAGCGGUGAAAUGCUUAGAUAUGACAUAGAACACCAAUUGCGAAGGCAGCUUACUACCCGAAUAUUGACACUGAGGCACGAAAGCGUGGGGAUCAAACAGG
rnacentral:rRNA from 1 species